UACGAAGGGGGGCUAGCGUUGCUCGGAAUCACUGGGCGUAAAGCGCACGUAGGCGGCUUUUUAAGUCAGGGGUGAAAUCCUGGAGCUCAACUCCAGAACUGCCUUUGAUACUGAGAAGCUUGAGUCCGGGAGAGGUGAGUGGAACUGCAAGUGUAGAGGUGAAAUUCGUAGAUAUUCGCAAGAACACCAGUGGCGAAGGCGGCUCACUGGCCCGGUACUGACGCUGAGGUGCGAAAGCGUGGGGAGCAAACAGGG
rnacentral:rRNA from 1 species